CCAGGGCACAGGGCUUAGCUCACCUGUGAACAGAGUUAGCGUUGCAUCAUGUUCACAGUGGCUAAGUUCCGCCUCCUGG
rnacentral:pre_miRNA from 1 species